GACGCGGUAGCCUAGCCGGUAGUCAAGAGCCCUUCGCCGAGGAGCUGGCGCGCGUCUUAGUCUUUUCCCUCCCUGCCUCCUUGGUGGAGUUGCAAAAUACAGAAAAAGGAAAAAAAAAUCGCCUUCUGAUGCUCUUCCUUAACUUAGGAUCCCACUCCUGCGUGCUCCGACAGGCAGAAGCAACUGGUGCCCCGUGAUGGUGGCGCUGGAACAUGAAAACUUUGGAGGUUAUGGAUGAUAAGCCUGAUCCUGGACCCCUAAGUGAGAGUUCAGAGCUCUUCUCCUUUGGCGUUAUAGCAGACAUUCAGUAUGCUGAUUUAGAAGACGGCUAUAAUUUCCAGGGGAGCAGACGGAGGUACUACAGGCACAGUCUUCUUCACUUACAGGGUGCUAUCGAACACUGGAAUAAAGAAAGCAGCCCACCCUGUUGUGUACUUCAGCUUGGAGACAUCAUCGAUGGAUAUAAUGCACAGUAUAAAGCAUCAGAAAAGUCACUGGAACUUGUUCUGAACACAUUCCAAAUGCUGAAAGUCCCAGUUCAUCACACGUGGGGAAAUCAUGAAUUCUAUAAUUUCAGCAGAGACUACUUAACAAACUCCAAACUUAACACAAGGUUUCUGGAAGACCAGAUUGCCCAUCGUCCUGAGACUAUGCCUUCAGAGAGUUAUUACGCUUAUCAUUUUGUACCGUUCCCUAAAUUCCGGUUCAUUUUACUUGAUGCUUAUGACAUGAGUGUGUUGGGUGUGGACCAGUCUUCUCCAAAAUUCCAGCAGUGUCUGAAGAUACUGAGGGAGCACAAUCCAAAUACGGAAUUGAAUAGUCCUCAAGGACUUUCUGAGCCCCAGUUUGUCCAGUUUAAUGGAGGAUUCAGCCAAGAACAGCUGAACUGGUUAAAUGAAGUUCUUACAUUCUCUGACAGAAACCAAGAAAAGGUGGUGAUUAUUGCUAAACAGAGCUCAGCUGCCAGCGCUCACCAACACCACGGCGAAGUCUCCGAGUGGCUCCUACGUGCAGCCUCUGCCAGACGCGGAGUUACAGAUGUGACUAAGACCACAACCCUCUCCAAGGAGGAGCUCCAGGUGCCUGCAUUUCCCCACUCAUGGCAUCUCUGACAAAUGAGAUCCUGCUACACUGGCGGAGGGCAAAGAGCAGGUGCGUGCUGGGGAGGCCCGAGGGAGAGGCUGAACUGGGCGAGGUCAGCCGCAGCCCGAUGGAGAGACGCGGGGGAGGCCCAGCUGAGCCCAAAAAAAGAGGUGAUCUCAGAACACCACAGCAUCCUGUGAAGCUCUUUCAUGUUCUGUUUAAGAAAUCUUCGUCUACUCAAGGUCACAAAGAUGUUUGCCUUGAAAAGCUUGAUGAAUAUUUCACCUUUCACAUUUCAAACAGAGAUUGAGGCAAUGCACACACAGGCAGCAGACCAGACUGGCCCAAGGGGAGGAGUCUGAAUCAGUCUAGGAAGGCCAAGCUCCUGGCCUGCAAUGAGCUGUCCCCUCUGCAACCCAAGAGCCUUCGGGCUUUACUUAGUCUCUUCCACCCCUCCUGUCCUCAGUGUCAACUAGUCAACAGUGAGCAGAAGUCUCUGAUCUUCAGUUCUGGGAGGAACUACUUAUGAAUGUGUAUGAUGACGUGUAUUACAGCAUCUUCAUAAAACCAAGAAGGAAGCUGUGUUGCGAGGGAACCCUGCCGGUGGACUGGGAACAUCAUGGCUCUUGAUUUUGCUGAAAAAUGGAUUUUAAUAAUUGGUGCUGGCUGGCCCACAAAGCAAAGCCAACUUUUGGGAAAUGGUGGGAUUCUGGCUCCGGGGAGAUACAGCUGCUUUCCUCUGGCAGAUGGGGACUGUGGGGGACCGGACAUCGACGGGUCAGUGCACCAGGGAGACACAUUAUUUCAAGAACCAGUUCCAGAGCACUGCGUCUGGGCCAGGACAGUGUGACAGCUGGGGACACAGAGAGGAAGGAGAACUGGAACAUCUGAGUGUCAGGUGCUCACAACUGGAAAGAGAAGUUCACCUGGUCACUUCUCCCUGCUUACAACAGAAACCAACGAGAAUGGGGACUGGGGAUGGAAUCCAUGCCGGCCAAACAGGAAACCGCUGUGUGACUGGUUCAAGCACCGGGCUAGGUUCUCCAGGGAUUUGAAGAUCAAUGAUAUUGAGAAUGAUGCCAUUAGCGCUUUCCCUCCCACAGGGGCGACGUGCAGACGGCUGCAAUGCAAAAGGUCACUUGACAAAAGGAAAAAGUGCUCUGAACGUUUUCAGGAAGGAGGGCUUGCUUCCAGCAGGGGCUUCAAGAAAACAUCAUGAAGGUGUUGCCCUUAGCCAGCGCUUAAAUAGCGACCCCUGACUUUAAGUCUCCGAGCUCUCAGGCUGUGAAAGGUUUCCCUUCUCCUGCAACCCCGCACAGUACAGCUUGCCGUAUGUUAUCGCCCCCAUGUGUUACCUCCCCUCCAUCUGCCCCAAAUCCCUCACACUCCCGGCACAUUCCAAGUCGCCUUCAGGCUCUGAACCCAGUGGUCUCCAACCCUCUAACCCACAGCUCCCACCUUAGUUUCCAAUUUUUAAACAAAUGUAAUUAUUCAAGAGUGAUGGAUCCAAGCAAUAUUCCCAGAGGAGGGCCUAGGGUUCAUCUGAAACCUAACAUACUUGGCUCAGUUCCCUCAAACCUGGGAAAAGCUAGCAUCACCUAGAGAGACCAGAAAGUUCUUAUAGAGACUCAAAAUACUAAUAAUUAUUAUUGUUACUAUGCUGCAGUCUCCGCCUUCAUCCUCUGAAAGGACCGGAACAGGGGGCAGGACCCUGAGCUGAGGACGAUCAUCACAUCAUUACUACCGUCCCUCUGCUGAGCAUUCCCUCUGUGCCAGGCGCCUGCUCUCUCACCACAGCUCUGUGAGGUCGGCGGAUGCAGCCAACAUCUUCAACAGAACCGUUCGGGGGCAAUGCCACGUCCUCCAGUUCUUGGACCACGAUGUUAUUUGUGCAGCUGGUAGGGAUUCCCUCUCCUCCCCAGUUUCCACGUGCGUCCUGCCAAUCUGCCACCUCACUUAACGUUACUGAGAAACCACACACGGGGACUCACCCACCCAGAAGCACGUGCGCUGCUCCUGACUCGAGUUUCUGCCCGGUUCACCAGCUACCUGGUCACUGAGCUACUUCUGUUCUUUCUGGGGCCACCCCAGCCAUCCCCCUGGCGGCAGGGAUCCCCACACAGAAAGGACACAGUGCCUUUCAGCUGGCAGGGAUGCGGGCACGCCAGCUCGCGUGCGGACCCUGAAGUUACUGGGUACCCCAGUAACUGGUACUUCCCAAACUACAGCGCUAAUGUAUCUGUUAUGUCUUCCUAGCAAACAUGGAGGUGGCAAGUCCAGAGGCCAGCGGGAAAUAAAAUGCAUUAUUUUAUGGCAAGAGAAGAAAAAUUUAAACAAAAAAAUUCUCUGCCCUUUGGCCUCCUGUCCCACACUGUGCAUCGUGUAUCUGCAUCACUGACCCAGCCUCCCCCGUCGGCAGGAGCACCUGCUCGGCCAGAAAGGGCAACGUUCUCCCAGCAUCAACAAGACCACUCCUUAGAGAUAACAUUCCUCCUGAUCUCCUAAGAGGCCGGGCUGACACUUAGAUCUGGAUUACGUAAACUGUCAAUAAUACAUCAUUUGCUAUACAGCCCUCUGUCUCAAAACUACUAUAACUGUGACUUCUAGUCUAUAGAACUGUUGACGUCUAACAGGUGGAACAGUUUCAGGGCUUUCUGCGGUGCUUUUCUUGGAUUGUAAUCCUCAAAUCUGACUCAAAUAGGAUUUUCCACUUCUUUCUCAGAUGAACUGAUUACUUUUUCAUUGACACCACACAUACAACUGCAGUGACGUGAGGGAAAACAUAGGUCUCAACCUGGGCGAUCAAUGUCGAAGAGUGGGGCAUGGGGAAUACGGACAAGCUACAGGUCCUGUCCAUCAGGAGUCUGAGCUCAGCCUUCAGUCUCUACCAUGUGGCAGGGGAGGCCCAGGAUGCUGUGGGGUGGUCUGGCUGCAGGAAGCAAAGAGUGGCGGGCGUCUAGCACCAAGUGUGAGAGACGCAGACCCUCAGAGUGCAGUGACAGCCAGCUGCUCAGCACAGGGAAGAGGCGGGUCCUGUGGUAGGCCUAUCCAAGAAGCAAAGUGGAUGGGAUUUAAAGAAAUGAAAUACUGAUCAAGGAAUUCCUCUGUGUCUCUUAAGGACAAAGUUAAUCCCAAAUUUAUUGAGUGGAAGAAAGUACGUUCACAACAGGUCAUAGUAUAGAGGAGAUUAUGUUCAGAAAUGUAGAGAGCUCUAAAAACACAGGCCAAAACGAAUGUUCCAUUAUCUGCCUGUUAAUCUCAAGACGCUGCCCCAGACUCCUGCCAAAGGUUGAUCACUAAGUCUUCCCUCCUGUUUGAUCUUGGGAAAUGUACAGAAAAAACAAACCAAAACCAAAACAAACAAACAAACAAACAAAAAAACACCCAGAAAACAAAAAAUCAACGCCUGUGUAUUCUGUCUUCUCACAGAAGACUCUCAAAACCUCUGGUUACCAAAUGCAUGUAGAUUUUUCCUACACUAAGCAAUUCUCUGACACCAGUUUAACUCAAUUCAGAAGCUGUCUGUCUGCAGUUAGCACAGACCCCACGGGUUAAGGGCUCAGUCCCAAAAGACAGCUCCUACUUUGGACGCCUUCAGCCUCAGUCCCCUCCUCAAGUGUAGCUCUAUGCUAGAAUGGCUCAUGGGACUCAGGAGAACAAUUUAUCUACCAGAUUACUGAUUUGUUUCAAAGGAUCUGUCAGGAGCAGCCAGAUGGAAGAGACACACAGAGCAAGGUGUGUGGGAGGGGCCCGGAGCUUCCGCACCAGGUCCCGGCUCUCACCCUCCCCGAAUCUCCACGUGUUCACCAACCUGGAAGCUCUUCACCGCCUCAGUUCGGAUUUGUAUGGAGGCUUCGUUACACAGGGAUGAUGGAUGAAACCAUCGGCUCUUUGGUGACUCAGUCUCCAGCCCCUUUCCUCUCCCUGGAGGUCAGGGGAGGGGAGGAACAGGAAGCUGAAAGUUCCCACCCUCUGAACGCGAGGUUGGUUCCCCUAGCAACCAGCUCCAACCCUAGGGGCUUCCCAAAAGUCAGCUCAUUGACAGAAACUCUGGUUUGGCUGAAACGGGGCUUGUUAUAAAUAACAAAAGGCACUUGUGUGGCUCUUAUCACUUAGGAAAUUCUGAGGGUGUUGUUCGGAGCUGUGUGCUGGGAACUCUGGAUGACGACUAAGAUGUCCCUUUCUUAUUAUCAGUCACAUCAUCCGAGGAGGCCACGUGUGGGAAGGGUAUCCCCAGGCUGCACCCAGGGUUUGCCCACACGUGUAUGUGUCGAAUACCCACGCGGCCCACCUCUUCCCUUAUUCUGAUCUCCUGCCUGUCUGGACUGGAUCAUGCCUGGAGGUCCACCGAGCAUUCCAAACGCCAAUGCCUUCAUUUCUCUAAGCGCCACUCCUGUUUUCCAACAUGCGCCUCUGCGAAAGACACCAUGUAGCCAAUGUGGGGCCAACUGGUAUCCUUCAAAGUCCAGCGACCCCCAUUCCUGGGCUGUCACAUGUCUACCUGCCAUCUCUCAAAAGAUAAAGCACAUUCUUUACUGGAUGUGUUCGCCCUAACAAACUGACAGCCCUAGGGAAUGCCUAAUCUCACAACGGCUCAGGCUGGCGUGUUUCAGCCCACCCCAUCAGAGUCAUGAACCCCACUGCCCCUUCACUGGCCCUAAACUUCUUACCUCACCUACAACCAGUCAGAGAAUUGUUCCUGCUCGCAGCCCCCAACCCACUGUAUUCCAACCCCUUCCCCAUAAAAGACCUCAGCCAGCGACCCUCGGGGCUCCCACGGGCACCUCCCGUCUGUGCGGCCCGCUGCUCUCGGUGGCCGGGUAACCUAAUAAACGUUUCCUUCCGCUUUCCUCUGAAUUUACCAAAUUCUUUUAGUCUCUGAUUGUGACUCAUCACAAUGACACGAGGAGGCACUUUUCUCAUGAAGCACAGCAAAGCUCUUUGGGGAGAAAUGAUCUUCCUGAAACACAUUUAAGAACACCAGCGAGACAGUCACCGGAGCUCCCCACACACAUCCUCAAGAUCUGCCUCUUUCCCGUUGCUCGGGUUUGUUCCACGGGUUGCAUCUCACUGACCACCUGCCGGCCUCCUCCACAUGCAGAAGGGGCCUCUCCCCGGGAAGCCCCAGCACACACUCGGGGCCUCAGGAGGAUUCCAGUGUGUGUUCAGGCUCUAAGGACGUCUCCUGUGCAGAACUGAGCACAGACUGUACGUGGGAGGAGAUGUUCCCUUGGUGUCUGCUCUAAAUGUUUCCGAGUUGAUGGUUCCAAGAGAGGGGAAUGAAUGGGGAUUGCCCAAGCCACACUUAAGCUGGAACAGAUCAGUUCCCGGGGUUCUGCAGGAAGGGUUUUUCUUUUGCUCUCUGUAGCCCUAAUUUAGAUCUCUGGGUAAGGUCGUGGGCCAGACCCCUCCCACCCUUUCCCCCUCGGCUCCUACUGCAUGGCCCCCACUGUGGCCUCAGUUUCUGAGCUCUGCCAGCGUCUCCUUCUGUGGUCCCUGCCCCUAAGGUCACGGUGACCUCCACUGUCGCUGCUCUUGGCUUCCCAGCUCAUUCUUGGUGACAGGAACAUCCAGGGCAGUGACCCAGACAGCACCCUGGCCUCUCAGUCCCUUGGUUUUCACCUGCAAGGAUAUUUGCCAGCUCUACGUCGUCUGCUGUCUUCAUGGUCACACCUCUUCCUUGUCACUCCUCAGUAACCACACCUCCCCCAAAGCCCUAACUUUGAGUUCGGCCUCAUGAUCACCAUUUCUAGGUCUUUUACUCUGGUGUCCCCCUGUGCUACAAUCCUUUUAUUUCAUGGGGAUUUCCAAACCUUAUCCUCACUUUCUUAAUUGCCCAGCUACAAAUCCAUGGUUCAUGAGUUUAAUAAUCACUUCCCUGUAAAUAUUCUCAGACCUUGACCGCCACCAGGAGCCCCAACCCCUGCCCCAUCUCACUGUCCUGCUCACCUAGUAAAUCCCAGCCGUGGCGGAACCCACAUGUCUGCCCUUCUCCAUGCCAUCUCACGAGCAGCUGAGCUUUGUGUAGAAAGUCACAGAUCCAGGAUAAGUUCUUUGCUUUAAAAAUCACAGCCAGUGUUCCCACGUGAGCCCUCCAUUCUACCUGCUGCAUCUGUCCCCCUUCACUGCGAAAUUCCCUUCUCCACACCGCGAGAUGGCUGUUUCAUAGUUUCCUUUUGGCUCAUACUUUCCCCACGCUCUCCUCUCCCACACGCUGAGGUGCUGAUCUCCCCUUGUGCUUACUGGGAACAUGUGAGCCAUCAGCCGAAAACGCACUCACCUUCCCAGCAGCGAGUCUGUAAGUCUUCAUUUUUACCCCUCUCUCCUUUUCCCUUCCUUUUGUAAUAAGAAAGCAUUUCACUAAUAGCCCAGAUCUAAUGCUUCCACUGCUCUUCUGCGUGCCAUUCCCUUUCGCUCACCCAAGGAAUUUGCUGUUUUGGCUUUUCUUUCUCUCUCCCUCAUUAUAGGUCUUUCUGGAGGGAAAUUUAUUGCUUUAAAUGCUAAUAUUAGGCAUAAAGAAAGGUCUAAAGUCAAUUGUCUAAACGUCUACUUUCAGAAAUUUUUAAAGACUUGGAAAAUAGACUGAAAAUAAGUAGAAAAAACAUUGAGAUAAGAGCAGAAAACAAUUUAAUUGGAAAACAAUUAACGAAAGUGAAAGUUAGUUCUUUUGAUCAAAAGACUAAUAAAACUGAUAAAUCCCAAGCAAGACUGAUUAAGGAAAAAAAGGGAGCAAGCACAAUUGAUCGAUAUCAAGAGUGAAAGCGGGCUUAUCGCUACACAUUGUAUAAUUACCGAAAUGAGUGAAAGGAAAUGCUAUGCGUGAGGCUAUGUCAACGAAAGCAACAAUGUCGAGGAAAUGAGCCAGUUUCUUGAAAAACUCAAAUCACCCAAACUGGCACAAAAUAGCUUUCUAUCUACCAAACAACCUAAACUGAUUAUCAAAAACCUCAGCACAGAGAAAACUUCAGUCCCCAGUGGUUUCACUGGGGAAUUUCAUCAAAUAUUUGAGGAAGAAAUAAGACCGAAUUUACACAACCUAUUUCGGAAGGGAGGGAUGAGCUACGUGGAGGCAACAAAGGAGCGAAAAAAGGGAGACAUUACAAAGUGUGGUUUUAUGGCUUCAUUUUGAUGACGUUAUAGAACAAUUAAAAUGAAUUUGUUGUGGCAAACUUCGAAGCAGUGGUAGCAGUACUGGAAGGGGAUGCUAGGGAACUUUCUGGAAUCAGGACUGGCUUCCAUGGAUGUCAAAAUCAUACAUUAUGCAUUUCAAUAUAUGUAAACUUAACGAGUAAAUGUUCAAGAAAAGUGCAGAGUAGCGGGGCAGGGAUGAAACAGACCGACAGGGUUGUUGAAGCCGAGUGAUGGGUGAAUGGGGGUUUAUGACCUUAUUCUGCUGUGUUGUGUAUGUUUUGGCUUCUCCACAGUAAAGAGUUUAAAACGGAGUAGUCAUGAAGUCUGAUUUCAUAAAGUGAGAUAUGACAAUUGUCUAUCACACUGUUUCGAAUCUGCAUCCUUCAGAUCUGCACAAAAUAGAGUACAUUUGUAUUUCCUUCCAGGCUUCUCUUUAGAAUGUUCUCACCAGUACUGACUAUGGAGUUUUGCCCCCAGCUUUCCUCCUCAUCUUAUACUAUCAGCAUCUUUGCAGUUUUACAGCCUUUGAGAGCAUCACUUUUAAUGGCCACCCCUCUGGCUUCUUAAUGCCGAAACUUAAAUUUUAUCUCAUUAUUUUACCGACAUUGAGUGUUAGUGCUACCCAGGAUAAUGCCUCUUGAGCCCACCCCUGAGGAACACAUAGCUGACUGUUUAUGUGCUGUGCGCCCACCUGAUACUAAGGAGGAUUUAAGGCAGCCUGAAAAGACACGUAAAAUGCAAGAUAGAAUAAAUGCUAAAGCGAAUACAAAAAGAAAGAGGCACAAAGUGAAAGAGUUGAAUCAAGGAUAUUUAAGGAAGGACAAGUCAGACAUUCUUCUCUGCUAAAGUAAACCUCAGCAAAACAUACCCAGGACAUCUAACUCUGAGCAAUGAUAUGAUACCACAUGGUAUUUUUCUUUCUCUAUUUGGCUUACUUCAUUUAGCAUGACAAUCUCCAGGUCCAUCCAUGUUGCUGCAAAUGGCAUUAUUUUAUUCAUUUUUUAUGGCUGAAUAGUAUUCCAUUGUAUAUACAUCCCACAGAUCAAAGAGAAAAAAGAAGAACCAAAUUUAUCCCUGAUUUACACUUGAAAGUCUUCAAAUGUACUUCAGAG